GAUGAACGCUAGCGGCAGGCUUAACACAUGCAAGUCGAGGGGUAGAAGGAGCUUGCUCCUUUGAGACCGGCGCACGGGUGCGUAACGCGUAUGCAAUCUACCUUUUGCAGAGGGAUAGCCCAGAGAAAUUUGGAUUAAUACCUCAUAGUAUGUGAGGAUGGCAUCAUUUUCACAUUAAAGUCACAACGGCAAAAGAUGAGCAUGCGUCCCAUUAGCUAGUUGGUAAGGUAACGGCUUACCAAGGCUACGAUGGGUAGGGGUCCUGAGAGGGAGAUCCCCCACACUGGUACUGAGACACGGACCAGACUCCUACGGGAGGCAGCAGUGAGGAAUAUUGGACAAUGGGCGCAAGCCUGAUCCAGCCAUGCCGCGUGCAGGAUGACGGUCCUAUGGAUUGUAAACUGCUUUUGUACAGGAAGAAACACUACUUCGUGAAGUAGCUUGACGGGUACUGUAAGAAUAAGGAUCGGCUAAACUCCGU
rnacentral:rRNA from 1 species